GAUGAACGCUAGCGGCAGGUCUAAUACAUGCAAGUCGAACGAGGUCAUCUCUUUCGGGAGAUGGCUUAGUGGCGCACGGGUGCGUAACGCGUAUGCAACCUACCUUUAACUGGGGGAUAGCCCCGGGAAACCGGGAUUAAUACCGCAUAAUACUAUUUGAGGGCAUCUGAGGAUAGUUAAAGAUUUAUUGGUUAAAGAUGGGCAUGCGUGCCAUUAGCUAGUUGGUAGUGUAACGGACUACCAAGGCUACGAUGGCUAGGGGUUCUGAGAGGAUGAUCCCCCACACUGGUACUGAGAUACGGACCAGACUCCUACGGGAGGCAGCAGUAGGGAAUAUUGGGCAAUGGAGGCAACUCUGACCCAGCCAUGCCGCGUGCAGGAAGAAGGCCUUCUGGGUUGUAAACUGCUUUAUCUAGGAAGAAAACGCCCAUGCGUGGGCAACUGACGGUACUAGAUGAAUAAGCACCGGCUAACUCCGUGCCAGCAGCCGCGGUAAUAC
rnacentral:rRNA from 1 species